AAUUACAGUACGGUUGCCUUUAUCAGCUGGUAGUACGCAAAUUUCUGGAUGUUAUUCUGGAAUUAUUGUCCGGAAAACAACAAGUCAUCCAAAGAACUGACCAAAACACGCACAACUCGUUCUUGUUUACCCAAGAAAUCGCAUAUCACCGAAUAUUCAACCAGAAAGUAUGCCAAACGUCCCGAAAACUUCGCAACCUACGGAAACAAGUCGGAAUCAGAAACACCCCGCAAACACCGUCCAGUAAUCCACAAGCCAUCUUCAACGCGACUGAAAUCAGCAUACCGAAUGAUGUAAAGAUGAUUCUCAGCCUGAGUCCUAAAUUUGCUUUGCCAUACAAGUCGUUUACAGACACUCCCAUGUACCACCUAAUGGCUGAAACAGAGUCCAUACUAAAGCUACAUCCAGAUAAAAGAGUACAAGAUAGAACCCUCUGCAUGAUAACCAACGCCAUCCACAACUACAUCAAUCGAUGCAUGACAGACAUUAUUGACGAUAAACAGAUUACUAUUUUCCCAUUGAAGAAGGCAAAAUACAGUUGCCGAAACGUCGGACAGUAGAAAAA